rnacentral:rRNA from 1 species
GACGAACGCUGGCGGCGUGCUUAACACAUGCAAGUCGAACGAUGAAGAAGAGAAACGCGAACUUCGGUUCAACUUUCACUUCGGAUUAGUGGCAGACGGGUGAGUAACGCGUGAGCAACCUACCUCUUACAAAGGGAUAGCCUCGGGAAACCGUGAUUAAUACCAUAUGACACAUUCAUAAGGCAUCUUAAGAAUGUUAAAGCUACGGCGGUAAGAGAUGGGCUCGCGUCCCAUUAGCUAGUUGGUGAGGUAACGGCCCACCAAGUCGACGAUGGGUAACCGGCCUGAGAGGGUGAACGGUCACAUUGGAACUGAGACACGGUCCAAACUCCUACGGGAGGCAGCAGUGGGGAAUAUUGCACAAUGGAGGGAACUCUGAUGCAGCGACGCCGCGUGAGCGAUGAAGGAAUUCGUUUCGUAAAGCUCUGUUCUAUGGGAAGAAAAGGACUGUACCAUAGGAGAAAGCCCCGGCUAAAUACGUG